ACGUCAUCAAGAGAGGUGGAGGGAUUAGGCCCUGUGAAGCCUCGGCAACCUGCAAAUGAGUGCAAGGUGCUAAUUCCUGCGGACAAGCGUCUGGGAGAUGAGGU
rnacentral:ncRNA from 2 species